GAAGUUGACCAAACAGUCGCUGUUUAGUUUUAUGAAAAAUUAAAAAGAGGAAAGUCCGGGCUCCAGAGAGCAGGGUGCCAGAUAAUAUCUGGAAAGCGUAAGCUUAUGACUAGUGCAACAGAAAAAAAACCACCUAUUUUUUAAAAAGUUUUAUAUUUUUUAAAAAAAUAUGGCCAGGGUGAAAAGGGGUGGUAAGAGCACACCGCAUAAUUGGUAACAAUUUAUGGCAUUGUAAACUCCACCCGGAGCAAAGCCAAAUAUAGGUCGUUUUCUGUAUUGCUCGUACUCUAUAAACCUGGGUAGGCUGCUUGAGUUAAUAAGUGAUUAUUAACCUAGAUGAAUGACUGUUAAAACAGAACCCGGCUUACAGGUCAACUUCAUUA
rnacentral:RNase_P_RNA from 1 species